GACGAACGCUGGCGGCGUGCUUAACACAUGCAAGUCGAACGGGCCCGCUCUCUUUUUUGGGGGUGGGUUGAGUGGCGAACGGGUGAGUAUCACGUGAGUAACCUGCCCCCUGCUCCUGGAUAACUGCUUGAAAGGGCGGCUAAUACGGGGUGUGCCGGCUGGUCCGCAUGGGCCUGGUCGGGAUAGUUUCAUCUUCGGGUGUUUCGGUGGGGGAUGGGCUCGCGGCCUAUCAGCUUGUUGGUGGGGUGAUGGCCCACCAAGGCGGUGACGGGUAGCCGGCCUGAGAGGGUGGGCGGCCACACUGGGACUGAGACACGGCCCAGACUCCGGCGGGAGGCAGCAGUGGGGGGUAUUGCACAAUGGGCGGAAGCCUGAUGCAGCGACGUCGCGUGAGGGAUGGAGGCCUUCGGGUUGUGAACCUCUUUCUCCGGUGGUGAAGGCCCUGUCCGUUGCGGCGGGGUUGACGGUAGCCGGGUAUGAAGCGCCGGCUAACUACGUG
rnacentral:rRNA from 1 species